AGAGUCGAUUGGACAGUCGCUGCCUCUUGUUGUUCCGCAACAAGGGGGGGAGGAAAGUCCGGGCUCCAUAGGGCGGAGUGCCAGGUAACACCUGGGAGGCGCGAGCCUACGGAAAGUGCCACAGAAAAUAACCGCCUAAGCACCUCGGUGCCGGUAAGGGUGAAAAGGUGCGGUAAGAGCGCACCGCACGUCUGGCAACAGUUCGUGGCAAGGUAAACCCCACUCGGAGCAAGACCAAAUAGGGUUCCUGGGCGUGGCCCGCGCUGGAACCGGGUAGGUUGCUAAAGACGUCCAGUGAUGGCCGUCGUAGAGGAAUGACUGUCCUCGACAGAACCCGGCUUACAGAUCGACUCUCCAC
rnacentral:RNase_P_RNA from 5 species